rnacentral:rRNA from 1 species
CCUACGGGAGGCAGCAGUGGGGAAUAUUGCACAAUGGGCGGAAGCCUGAUGCAGCGACGCCGCGUGAGGGAUAAAGGCCUUCGGGUUGUAAACCUCUUUCAGCAGGGACGAAGCGUGAGUGACGGUACCUGCAGAAGAAGCACCGGCUAACUACGUGCCAGCAGCCGCGGUAAUACGUAGGGUGCGAGCGUUGUCCGGAAUUACUGGGCGUAAAGAGUUCGUAGGCGGUUUGUCGCGUCGUUUGUGAAAACCCGGGGCUCAACUUCGGGCUUGCAGGCGAUACGGGCAGACUUGAGUGUUUCAGGGGAGACUGGAAUUCCUGGUGUAGCGGUGAAAUGCGCAGAUAUCAGGAGGAACACCGGUGGCGAAGGCGGGUCUCUGGGAAACAACUGACGCUGAGGAACGAAAGCGUGGGUAGCAAACAGGAUUAGAUACCCUGGUAGUCCACGCCGUAAACGGUGGGCGCUAGGUGUGGGUUCCUUCCACGGGGAUCUGUGCCGUAGCUAACGCAUUAGCGCCCCGCCGUGGGGAGGUACGGCCGCGACGGACGUAAACGUUAAACGGUAAAGUUAGACGGCGUGAGAACGUGCGACGGCGACGACGAGGGAGGAGG